UUUGUGCGAAAUGAAUCAGAAAUUCGAAGGACGGAGGUAGCCCACCGGUACUCCGUCGCUAGCGUGGUCGUGCGUCGUCGUCGUCGUUUCGCUUCUUGCUGGCGCCUCCGUCGUUCACAACAUCUUCAAGCCUGAUUUGACAUUGCCGCCAAUGGACACUGUUCAUGGGGCUAAGGGCAGAGAAGCUGACAAGGGAUGAAUAUAUUUUGUUGGUUUCAACAAAGUAGUUGAUUUUUGUCAACUUUCAAUGCUUUGAACUUCAACUUCAUGAGAAUGUUUUGCAAGAGAUUUUGUUGGAGGUACAUUUUACCAUUGAUGUGUAUGUUUAUCUGAGAUUGUUAUCUUGCUGUGUUGCUAUGUUUGUCAAAUAGGCUUGUUAUUUGUUUU